AUUGAACGCUGGCGGCAGGCCUAACACAUGCAAGUCGAGCGGAUGAAGGGAGCUUGCUCCUGGAUUCAGCGGCGGACGGGUGAGUAAUGCCUAGGAAUCUGCCUGGUAGUGGGGGAUAACGUCCGGAAACGGGCGCUAAUACCGCAUACGUCCUGAGGGAGAAAGUGGGGGAUCUUCGGACCUCACGCUAUCGGAUGAGCCUGGGUCGGAUUAGCUAGUUGGUGGGGUAAAGGCCUACCAAGGCGACGAUCCGUAACUGGUCUGAGAGGAUGAUCAGUCACACUGGAACUGAGACACGGUCCAGACUCCUACGGGAGGCAGCAGUGGGGAAUAUUGGACAAUGGGCGAAAGCCUGAUCCAGCCAUGCCGCGUGUGUGAAGAAGGUCUUCGGAUUGUAAAGCACUUUAAGUUGGGAGGAAGGGCAGUAAGUUAAUACCUUGCUGUUUUGACGUUACCAACAGAAUAAGCACCGGCUAACUUCGUG
rnacentral:rRNA from 1 species